GUAGGUGGCAAGCGUUGUCCGGAAUUAUGGGGCGUAAAGCGCGCGCAGGCGGUUCUUUAAGUCUGAUGUGAAAGCCCACGGCUCAACCGUGGAGGGUCAUUGGAAACUGGAGAACUUGAGUACAGAAGAGGAAAGCGGAAUUCCACGUGUAGCGGUGAAAUGCGUAGAGAUGUGGAGGAACACCAGUGGCGAAGGCGGCUUUCUGGUCUGUAACUGACGCUGAGGCGCGAAAGCGUGGGGAGCAAACAGGGAUUAGAUACCCUGGUAGUCCACGCCGUAAACUAUGAGUGCUAAGUGUUAGGGGGUUUCCGCCCCCUUAGUGCUGCAGCUAACGCAUUAAGCACUCCGCCUGGGGAGUACGGCCGCAAGGCUG
rnacentral:rRNA from 1 species